ensembl:misc_RNA Metazoa_SRP Metazoan signal recognition particle RNA
GCCAGGUGCAAUGGUGCAUGCCUAUAGUCCCUCCUAUUCAGGAGGCUGAGAUGGGAAGACUGCUUAGCCAAGGAAUUCUUGCUGUAAUAUGCAUGCCAGUUAGGUGUCUGCACUAUGUCUGGCACCAAUAUGGUGACCUCCUGGGAGCAUGGGACCACCAGGUUGCCUAAGGAGGGGUGAAACGUCCCAGAUUGGAAACAAAGAGGUAAAAACUCCCAUGCUGAUCAGCAGUGGGAUUCUGCCUGUGAAUAGCCACUGCACUGCAGCCUGGGCAACACAGUGAGACCCUGUCUCU